AUUUUAUUAUUUAAAAAAAUUAUUUAAUAAAAUAAUUUAAAUGGUGAGAAUUGGAGAGGUGGGGAGAGAAAAAUGGAGAGACUCCUCUGCCUAACCGCCUCAGGACACAUUUCAUUGCUUUACGAUCUCAACGACGCCCAUCAAGGAGCAGAGUUUGACUAUAAAGUGAAUUUUCCCCUGCUAUGAUGUAACUCAGAUGAAGAAGCAAUUAUCUGACGUUGAAGUUGACCCAAAAAUAUCUCUCAUUGGUCAUUUUUUACAGUCUAAUUAAUACCUUCCUUAGAUUGGCACCAUUCCUAUCGACGCUGGGUUAUUGGGUUUGUGAUCGGAAAUCAUCAAUUUUGUGUAUAUCGCUAGGACUGGUGAAUGAUGAUUGAUCUGGCAGGAGGAUGCAACGAGAUCGGCAAAGGCAUUUCAUUUCCUUUAUAUUUUUUCCGAUGAGAGAUAUCCCAGGUUGUAGGCUCUGAAGGGAAGGGAAGUGUGUUGCUGGCUAUGGAGGAGCUGAACAAGCUGAAGCGGGUGAGUAUUGAUGCUUCUGAGGCAAUCUCGGUUGGGAUAUAGUGAUAUCGCUUCUUGAUGUUAUGACGAGUGCAUUCCAGGUCAGUUCAGUUGCUUGAGGCCGAACUUGUAUCUUAAAAGCCAGACGGUAUUGGCAUGAAUCAAGAGUUUUGCCUUAUUUUGAUUUUUAGAUCUGUGGCAUUUAUUGGUGGUCUGCCUUCAAGUUGAGCGAUAGGCUGGAGAUACUUUUAGAGGAAGGCAUAAAGAUAUGGCGCCUACGGAUGGUUGAUUGCGUGAGAAAGUAGCAUUGGAGAUUGGUCCUUGAAGUUUGUUCUCUUUUCGGCCAAAAACAGUAGGAUUAGAUCUUGUACGGAGACUUUACCAGUUUUUUGCAGAUUCUGGUGACGCUUUGAUCUCUUCUGAAUUCUGUUCAUGAGUAUUUUUAUCUAACUUUAAAGGUUAAAUUCUGCAUAUUCUAAAUCUUUUACUGAGUACAAUGAUUUAACAUUGUAUAUAAUUUAUGCUCUCAUGGUGGAUGAACACAGCAAAACAUGAAUUUUCACUUGGCCUUGCAUAAAAGCUGAGGUAUGCACUACAAUAGGGGUCAUAAAAUCUGAUAGCAGUGAGCACUGCAAUUUAAGAUUUGCUCGCUUCAAGUAAUUGGAUUUGAUCUCUGACUUAAUACUACUUAGUUAGUAGUACGAUCAAUCAACAUCUAGAGUUGAAUGUGAUGUUAAUAUUUUUGCCACCUUUGUACGACUCUCAACGGAUCUGAUGAAGGGGUCAUGAUGACUGUAUCAAGCACACUUUCAACUGCUCUGGCUCGGCCAACUAUAUUUCUUGUAGGAACUUGUUGGUGGGGUGAAGAGAACACGGUGAGCACAAGAUUCAAGGGAUUGGUGCUGGUUUAUUACCUAGGGUGCUGGGAGUUAGUCUUCUAGAUGAAGUUGUCCAAAUAUUCCUUCACCACCAUUGAUAGGAAGGGGGUUGGAGACACAGUAUAAAUUGCAUGGGGUGAUGAAUGUGGACUUCUCAAGGAUUAUUUUGUUUCCCAUCAACUCAUAGACUUUGGAAUUCCUGAAGAACAUCGCAAAAAACCUGUUACAAUGCCCAAAGUGAUAGUACAAAUUAAAAUUUCCUUUUUUAUCAUGCCGAUUGCAAAAGUUUGUUUAACGUUUAUUUAUAAAAUUGAUGUAAUUUUAUUUGGAUGCUUAAAUUUUUUUUGUUGCAGCCUGAUGAAUUUCUGACUUAAUGGGUGCAAUAUGUGCCUAAGACACAUUCCUGCAUUACUUUAUUAUUAUUAUUAUUAUU